rnacentral:rRNA from 1 species
AGAGUUUGAUCCUGGCUCAGAUUGAACGCUGGUGGCAUGCUUAACACAUGCAAGUCGAACGGUAACAGGUCUUCGGAUGCUGACGAGUGGCGGACGGGUGAGUAACGCGUAGGAAUCUGCCCAUCUGUGGGGGAUACCAGUUGGAAACGACUGUUAAUACCGCAUAAUAUCUGCGGAUUAAAGGUGGCCUUUGCGCUGCCGCAGAUGGAUGAGCCUGCGUUGGAUUAGCUAGUUGGUGGGGUAAGGGCCUACCAAGGCUACGAUCCAUAGCUGAUUUGAGAGGAUGAUCAGCCACAUUGGGACUGAGACACGGCCCAAACUCCUACGGGAGGCAGCAGUGGGGAAUAUUGGACAAUGGGGGAAACCCUGAUCCAGCAAUGCCAUGUGUGUGAAGAAGGCUCUAGGGUUGUAAAGCACUUUAGUUGGGGAGGAAAGCCUGUGAGUUAAUAGCUUGCAGGAAGGACGUUGCCCAAAGAAUAAGGACCGGCUAACUCCGUGCCAGCAGCCGCGGUAAUACGGGGGGUCCGAGCGUUAAUCGGAAUUACUGGGCGUAAAGGGUCUGUAGGUGGUUUGUUAAGUCAGAUGUGAAAGCCCAGGGCUCAACCUUGGAACUGCAUUUGAUACUGACAAACUAGAGUAUGGUAGAGGAAUAGGGAACUUCUGGUGUAGCGGUGAAAUGCGUAGAGAUCAGAAGGAACACCAAUGGCGAAGGCAACAUUCUGGACCAAUACUGACACUGAGGGACGAAAGCGUGGGGAUCAAACAGGAUUAGAUACCCUGGUAGUCCACGCUGUAAACGAUGAGUACUAGCUGUUGGAUUCGGUGUAAAGGAUCUAGUGGCGCAGCUAACGCGUUAAGUACUCCGCCUGGGGACUACGGCCGCAAGGCUAAAACUCAAAGGAAUUGACGGGGACCCGCACAAGCGGUGGAGCAUGUGGGUUUAAUUCGAUGCAACGCGAAGAACCUUACCUGGUCUUGACAUCCUGCGAACUUUCUAGAGAUAGAUUGGUGCCUUCGGGAACGCAGUGACAGGUGCUGCACGGCUGUCGUCAGCUCGUGUUGUGAAAUGUUGGGUUAAGUCCCGCAACGAGCGCAACCCCUAUUGAUAGUUACCAUCAUUAAGUUGGGUACUCUAUUGAGACUGCCGCUGACAAGGCGGAGGAAGGUGGGGACGACGUCAAGUCAUCAUGGCCCUUACGACCAGGGCUACACACGUGCUACAAUGGGUAUUACAGAGGGCUGCGAAGGUGCGAGCUGGAGCGAAACUCAGAAAGGUACUCUUAGUCCGGAUUGCAGUCUGCAACUCGACUGCAUGAAGUCGGAAUCGCUAGUAAUCGCAGGUCAGAAUACUGCGGUGAAUACGUUCCCGGGUCUUGUACACACCGCCCGUCACACCAUGGGAGUGGGUUGCUCCAGAAGUAGAUAGCUUAACGAAUGGGCGUUUACCACGGAGUGAUUCAUAACUGGGGUGAAGUCGUAACAAGGUAGCCGUAGGGGAACCUGCGGCUGGAUCACCU